CGGGCUGAGGCGGGGAGCCAGAGAUGACCGCCGCGGGGGCGGUCAGCGCGGGGCUCGAAGCGCGGAGAUGGCCCCUCUGCUCCGUGUCCCCACCCUCCAUCUCGGGUCUAGAAUCUGGCCGCCUCCAGCCGCCCCCACCCCUUGCCCGGCGCACCGUGUUCCACCGCCCGUGUGGUCAGCCUUCUCUCGCUGGUGGGAAGCCACUGCCUUUCCUGCCACACGUUCCUCACCAAGAGGAUCUCCCAGCUCCUGGGUGAUGCUGUCCAGACCUCCUCAACACCCAGCGCCACCACCCACUUCUUUGGCCAGUCUUUGCCGAGGCUGGUCUGUCUUUGGCUCCAGGAUGGCCCGCCAUCCAGUUGGAGCCACAGAUGAAAAGCAAUGCCAGUGUCCAGCUGCCCCAUGUGCCCAGAACCAGCAGCUCUGGAACCCCAGCCCCCGAGUACAUUCUUGCAGUGGGAUCAUUUCGGGGGUGGGGUGGGGGGGUGGCGCUUUGAUUGGCAUUUACCAAGGCCCUCUCUUGCACCCUUUUCCUUUGAGUUGUUAGUCUUUUCUUAUUGACUGGUUCAAGUUCUCUAUACAUUAAUGAUAUGAGCCCUGAGUCACAUCUUGGUAAUAUUUUUUGCCCCACUUUGUCACUUGUCUCUU
ensembl:lncRNA